GACGUAGGGGGCUAGCGUUGCUCGGAAUCACUGGGCGUAAAGGGUGCGUAGGCGGCUUUGUAAGUCAGAGGUGAAAUCCCGGAGCUCAACUCCGGAACUGCCUUUGAGACUGCAUCGCUUGAAUCCGGGAGAGGUGAGUGGAAUUCCGAGUGUAGAGGUGAAAUUCGUAGAUAUUCGGAAGAACACCAGUGGCGAAGGCGGCUCACUGGACCGGUAUUGACGCUGAUGUGCGAAAGCGUGGGGAGCAAACAGG
rnacentral:rRNA from 1 species